CUUGUCGUAUGUACAUUAUCUAAAAAGGAAAAAAAAAGAUCUUUUAUACCCCAGAAAUGUCUGUUUUGAAUUUAAGAAAUUAUUGAAAAAUAUUUAUUCACUCCCAAACAGUUUUCUCUCUUUAUUGUCAGAAAGCAUGUACUAGCAUGGCAUAGAAAUAAAGACCAUUAGACAUUGAUCGGCUGCCUGGUUUGAGCAUGUGCUUCUGUUGUUACACGUGGUCCUGCAAUAAGACUUUUUCUUUUCAUUAGACUCCCUCUUCACUGAGAUGGCUCGCUUGCGCUCUUGCAUCUAACCAAGAUUCAGUUCCCAGGGCUGACUUACUACUGCCUACAGCUUCCUUUACUGUGCAUCUGACACCCUCUUCUGGCCUCCACAGGGCAUGCCACUGUGCCAACCCUGAGGCCUUUUCUGCACCAGGAUGACAGGACUACACUGUGGUUGGGGACAACUCAUAGCAUGGCUUUGGUUUGAUUGACAUUAUCACAGAUUACCGGAGGAUUCAUAUGGUGCAGAGGAUGCCAACACUGGAGAAUCUGCACAGCUGUGUCCCCAAGCCUCCAACAUGAUGAGAGUGUGGAAAACCAACCAACCAACCAGCCAACCAACCGACCGACCAACCAACCAACCAAAAUGUGGCAACAGUAAAAUUAAAAUCAAGCACUCUAAGAUACGAUUCUACGUGCUCAAUGAGGAGCUGGCUAUUCUGCUGACCAAAUGAGAUAGACUAAGUAUGAAGGAACCUGCUCUCUGGUAAUUGGGUACAGCAAAGAACCACACUGGACAGGAGUUCUUGGCUUGGCCAGCCACCACUGGACCCCCAGGGUAAUGCUCGUGAAAGAAUAAGCACUACUGGCCAGUAACUGACUGAGAGCAAGCUGCUGCUUCAUCGCUUAUCACCACUGGACUUGCCCAGUGCUGUGGAGCCUGUGUAUAUGGACCAUGGGGCCCACAAGAUGGUAUUGGAUUUUGCUGAACUGCAAGUACAAUUACAGAUGAUUGGAAGCCACUAUGAAGGUGCUAGGAAUUGAACUUACAUCCUCAAGAAGAGCAGCAAGUACUCUUAACCACUGAGCCAACUCUCCAGUCUAAUAAAUAAAAUCUUUGAGGCCCCUAGGAAGGAAACUCUUGCCAUGGACUUGAUGCCAUCGUGCAGGCCUGGGCUGGGAAGCAAUGCCCGGUGGGAUGAGAGAUGGAAGGCAGGAUGCAGGUGUCAUCUCUGCUCAGGAACCAUAGAAACUCAAGAGACACAGUGAAAAAUCAUCAGACCAAAUACCAGACAGAUUCUGCUUAUAAUAGCAUAGCUCUAUUUGUCUGUUAGCUCCUCUUUCUUUUCCUUUGUAAUAUAUACACUGCAAAAACUCUGAAUACUGUCUUCAACCAUAGCGGCAGCCAUGCAGAAAAUAUAAGGGAAACCCACAGGAAAAAAAAAGAAAGAAAACCACAUAAUAAAGCUGAAAUCAAUUCAAUACAAAAUGUACCACAUAUCCACAUGGAGAUACAGGUCAGCUGGCCUGAAGCAUACUGAAGAAUAGCUCAUGAAAUGCAGAGAUGUGAGGUGCAUAACAGGAAGAGUCAAUAUUGCAAAGAUACCAAUUAUCCUAAUAUAAUUCAUACUUUCAGUACAAUACCAGCCAGCCAGUCAGUGGGAUUCUAGAAAAGAAAUGCAGGAGGCUUAGGGCAUGAAUUACGAGAACAGGGAAGGCCUGGCAGUAAUCAAGACAGUGAUGGGAGGAGCCAUCCCCAGAUGAUGUCAUUUGCACAUCUGGGCUCUCUACCCAUAGAGCUGUGCUGGCCUGCACAUCAACUCUAUGAGGUGAGCAUUAACCCUUUCAGGGUAGUGCCAUGGAAGGGACAAGUGAAGCCUCUUGCUGGAGUUCUACAGUGGGAGUGAUGGAGCUGGAAGUGGAACCGAGCAGUGUACCUCAGCACCUGUAGUACAUAACAGGGAGCCACACAAGACAAACAGAAGGAUGUAGAGAGUUCCAAACAGAUUCACAUUUAUAUGCAAACUUUGAUUUUUGUUAAAGAUGGCUUUUUUCUUAAAUGUGGGAAAUACAUCUCUGUCAAAAUGAUAUUAAUAACUAUUUAUUUUGAAAUAAUUCUAAUAAAGUAACAUUCCUAUAGAAGCUUUCUAUAAUUCUUACAAUAAAUGGCCUGGUAUUCAUUUGCUUAAAACUACAUGAAUUUGCUAUCUUAUAGUUAGAAUUUGCUAUCUUAUAGGUUCGAAAUCUGAGGGGAUCAACUGGGGAUAUGGGUAUCACAAGGGCAAAAAUCUGUCCCAAGGUCCUAUUUGGAACCUCUGAAAAGAACUCUUCCUUGCCCAUGUGUGGUUUCGGGCAAGUUCAGUUCCUUACAGGUAUGUUUCCUUGCUGGCUGUCAGCUGGCACUACCCUGAAAGGGUUAAUGUUCACCUCAUAGAGUUGAUGUGCAGGCCAGCUCAGCUCUAUGAUUAGAGAGCCCAGAUGCCUUUGGUCCUCAUUGGCACGCAUUGCUCAUGAGCUGUUCCCUCUGUCUCUGUUGUGCUUGGUCUUUCUCAACAUUCUGACCUGCUGUCCUAUUGCCCUGCUCUGCCUCCUGCCAUGACCUUCCUAUGGCCCUGUUCAUCGUUUCUGCCAGAGGAAGUUCUCUGCCCACUGUAGCCUUCUGUUUGGAUUGGCAAAGAACUUGGGAUAAUCUCUAAGGUUAUCUUGGUCACACUUAUGAACUCUUUGUAUGUGUGUGUGUGUUUAAUCAUUCAGGGAUUAGAGUAUAAUCUCCACUAGAAGUCAUUCUGUCUGUCACAACUUUAUGCCACAGGAUCUAUAGUAAACAGUAAAUGUACCACACAGAACUCUGUACUUCAUUACCUGGAUCAGGAGAGCUUUCCUAAAUAAAUCAUCUAGACAGUCAUCUAGAGAAAGACGGUGAGCUGACCCUUGUGUCACAGCCGCAGCUACUCAGCAGGCUCAGGAGGAGGCAGGGGGAUGGCACACAUAAGGUGAGCCUCAAUCACAGUAAGCAGGGCUAGCCUGGGCAACUUAGCAAGACCCUUUUCAGAUGAAAGGAGGGAGGAUGGGAAUAAGCUCAGUGGAAGAGUGUUGAGCAUGUGUAAAGACUAAGUUCUAUUUCAGUGUGUGCAUGAGAGCGCGUAAGCGCGCGCGCGCACACACACACACACACACACACACACACACACACACCCCAACCCAAAACAAAAUGAAUACAAUCCAGCACACAAAAUAACCUCAAAACACUAAAAUAAUGAGUAAAAAAAUUAAAAGAAUAAUAACUAGGAAUAUUUGCAAUCUACUUAACUAACAAAUCCUUAAUAUACAGAAUAUACCUUAAAAACUCCAAUACGUCACACUAGGAACGCAAAGGGAAGCAUUAGGAAGGAAAGCAGAUGCUGGGCUCUCACUCUGACAAUGGAACCUUAGACCAUCCCUUCCCAGUGUGCUUCAGAUCCCUAGAGAACUGGUUGGACAGAGAAGAAUCAGGCCAAGAUCACACAGAACCAGGACUGGCACUGGGAGCAGCUCAUGUAGUGGGCUUGGCCAAUGUCUAGUCAUGGAUGAGAAACUGAAUAGAUGGUUUAAUAGCUCUCACACAUGAAAUUGCAGGCUGGGACUUUCUAGGGGGAGUGUCUGGUAAAACCCCAUGCUUUGGGUAUAUGCCAAAAGGUUACAUUCUGUGAGUAGGAGUAACUGACUUGGAAACAGACCAGCUCUUUCCAGUGACAAAGUCUGGUUUUGGAUCAUCUCAGUCCCUGAAAAUGACUUGGAGUUAUUCCAGACUGAGAGUGCUGCUACCUGACUACAAAUGUCAAUUCUCUCUGGAAGAAAUUAAGAUCAUCCUAGGUCUUAAAUCAUUUCUAUAAAGUUCCUUAUGAAGCAUCUACACUCAAAACGGCCAGUUCAAAAGAAAAGUGAUCAAAUACCCCCUGCCCAAAUUUGCUUUAGAUUAUCACACAUUUAUUUUAAAACAUCAAGAUAUGUGCAACAGAAUUAGGAAAAUGAUUGUGAAUUUUGGUACAAAAUAAAAAAUUUAAAAAGAACUAAGUAGAAAUUCUAGCUGAAAAAUAUAAUCCAUAUUUAAGACUGGCCUAAUAGAAGAUUAGAUACAGCUAAGGAGAAAAUUAGUGAACUGGAAGCUAGACAAUGGAAAGUAAUCAGAAUAACUACAGAUACAGAGAACAGGGUUAGGAGGUUGCCCCCCCCCCCCCCGUCCCAAACACAAAGAUGAACACAGGCACACACAGACACACAGAUAUACCUACACAGUAAUACUAUACUUGUUAUAGAAUAUUUACAACUUGUUAAAAAUAUUUCAACAUGAAAGAUUACAGACUCAGAAUGAAGCUGAUGGAUGAACCCAAGGCCACUAGGCAGAAAUUUUAUUUCUGAACUACUUUUUUCAGCUCUUUGGCAAAUACAUCUAAAAAUAUUUUAUUUUGUUAUUUUCUGUGUAUAAAUAUAUGUUUGUUUACUACAUACAUGUGCCUUUGGAGGUGGGGAAAAAGGUGUUGGAUACUCUGGUACCAGAAUUAUAGAUGGUUGUAAGCCUCUGUGUGGUACAGGUUUCAGCCUCCAGUGCUGGAAUAAAAAAUACGCAGUUCAUGGCUUUUUAAUGAAGAUGCUGGGGAUCUGAACUCAUGCUUGUACAGCAAACACUCAACUGACUUAGCCACCCCAACCCUCAAUCUAAGAUUUAUAUAGGAAUUCAAAAAUACUGUGGCGAACCUACACAAAAGUGUGACCAUCACAAAGGCUUGGCAGUAUGUGUGCCAGUGCCAGGGCAGGUGCCCUGUUGGGAGCCGCCCUCACAUUUGCCAUUAUAAGAUGGCGCUGACAGCUGUGUUCUAAGUGGUAAACAUAAUCUG